rnacentral:rRNA from 1 species
AUUGAACGCUGGCGGCAGGCUUAACACAUGCAAGUCGAGCGGGGUGAUGGUGCUUGCACUAUCACUUAGCGGCGGACGGGUGAGUAAUGCUUAGGAAUCUGCCUAUUAGUGGGGGACAACAUCUCGAAAGGGAUGCUAAUACCGCAUACGUCCUACGGGAGAAAGCAGGGGAUCACUUGUGACCUUGCGCUAGUAGAUGAGCCUAAGGCGGAUUAGCUAGUUGGUGUGGUAAAGGCCUACCAAGGCGACGAUCUGUAGCGGGUCUGAGAGGAUAAUCCGCCACACUGGGACUGCGACACGGACCAGACUCCUACAGGAAGCAGCAGUGGGGAACAUUGGACAAUGGGGGGAACCCUGAUCCAGCCAUGCCGCGUGUGUGAAGAAGGCCUUAUGGUUGUAAAGCACUUUAAGCGAGGAGGAGGCUCUUUUGGUUAAUCCCCAAGAUGAGUGGACGUUACUCGCAGAAUAAGCACCGGCUAACUCUGUGCCAGUCGCCGCGGUAA